rnacentral:rRNA from 1 species
GGUCCUACGGGACGCAGCAGUGGGGGAUAUUGCACAAUGGGGGGAACCCUGAUGCAGCGACGCCGCGUGGGCGAUGGAGUACUCCGGUAUGUAAAGCCCUAUCAGCAGGGAAGAAAAUGACGGUACCUGACUAAGAAGCCCCGGCUAAAUACGUGCCAGCAGCCGCGGUAAUACGUAUGGGGCAAGCGUUAUCCGGAUUUACUGGGUGUAAAGGGAGCGUAGACGGCCGUGCAAGUCUGAUGUGAAAACCCGGGGCUCAACCCCGGGACUGCAUUGGAAACUGCAUGGCUGGAGUGUCGGGGAGG